AUAUGACAGAGACAAGUAUUAGAUAAGUAAUAUGAAUGUUGAAGAGAAGCUUAUGGCAACUAGUUGAUUCUUAAUGUUACUUGUAGGACUGGGGCCAUCUUUCUCUUUAUUGAGGAUAUUGUUUCGAAUCUGUGGACUGGAAGUAAUUCCCGGUGAGAGAAAUUGUGCCCGACAUUCUUGUGCAUCAUCACUUAGGAUUCAUUGUUUGUUAUUUGUACUUGUGGCUUUGUUCACUCCACAUUCCCAUCCCUGUAUGCUGUAGCCCCCAAUCUGCCUCCCUAGGAGAGGGGGAGGAAACAAAUUGUGGAAGGUUGG
rnacentral:misc_RNA from 1 species